rnacentral:lncRNA from 1 species
GACUAGGCUAAAUCUGUGUGUGGGAAACUGGUCCAUACAGUAUUUACUGCUUAAGAUCGGCUGAGAGAGUAAGGGGACCAGACAGUGUGAAGGGGACUUGGCUUGGGACAGGAAGAGGACCAGGCAGUGAAGAGACUUGGCUUGGGACAGGAAGGGGAUCAGACAGUGUGAAGAGGACUUGGCUUGGGACAGGAAGAGGACCAGGCAGUGAAGAGACUUGGCUUGGGACAGGAAGGGGACGAGGCAGUGUGAGGGGACCAGACAGUGUGAAGGGACUUGGCUUGGGACAGGAAGAGGACCAGGCAGUGAAGAGACUUGGCUUGGGACAGGAAGGGGACCAGGCAGUGUGAGGGGACCAGACAGUGUGAAGGGACUUGGUUUGGGACAGGAAGGGGACCAGGAAGUGAAUAGACUUGGCUUGGGACAGGAAGGGGACCAUACAGUGUGAAGGGACUUAGUUUGGAACAGGAAGGGGACCAGGCAGUGAAUAGACUUGGCUUGGUACAGGAAGGGGACCAGACAGUGUGAAGGGACUUAGUUUGGAACAGGAAGGGGACCAGGCAGUGAAUAGUCUUGGCUUGGUACAGGAAGGGGACCAGACAGUGUGAAGGGACUUGGUUUGGGACAGGAAGGGGACCAGGAAGUGAAGAGACUUGGCUUGGGACAGGAAGGGGACCAGACAGUGUGAAGGGACUUGGUUUGGGACAGGAAGGGGACCAGGAAGUGAAGAGACUUGGCUUGGG